CCCUCGUCUUUCACUCUUUCGAGCUUUUUUUGUUCUCCGACCCCACCCUAAAGCCCGAGGGUGGUGGUAUUUCAACCCUCGGAAGGGUCUCUCCUUUAUUACUGGUCUUCCAUCGUCGAUUCAUGGAUGGAAGAACCAGUUCUUCUUCGUCUCUUCUUCCGUUCCUUGGGGGUUCCCUACUCGCUGGGGGGACCCCCGAACCCAACCAAACGAGAACAGUCGGGUGGA
rnacentral:lncRNA from 1 species